UACGGAGGGUGCAAGCGUUGCUCGGAAUCAUUGGGCGUAAAGCGCACGUAGGCGGCCUGCUAAGUCGGGUGUGAAAGCCCUGGGCUCAACCCAGGAAGUGCACUCGAAACUGUCAGGCUUGAAUAUGGAAGAGGGUCGCGGAAUUCCCGGUGUAGAGGUGAAAUGCGUAGAUAUCGGGAGGAACACCAGUGGCGAAGGCGAUCAUCUGGGGUUGUUCUGACACUGAGGAGCGAAAGCUAGGGGAGCAAACGGG
rnacentral:rRNA from 1 species